AACGAACGCUGGCGGCAUGCCUAACACAUGCAAGUCGAACGAGACCUUCGGGUCUAGUGGCGCACGGGUGCGUCACGCGUGGGAACCUGCCCUUAGGUUCGGAAUAACUCCCCGAAAGGGGUGCUAAUAUCGGAUAAUGUCUUCGGACCAAAGAUUUAUCGCCUUUGGAUGGGCCCGCGUUGGAUUAGCUUGUUGGUAGGGUAAAAGCCUACCACGGCGACGAUCCAUAGCUGGUCAGAGAGGAUGAUCAGCCACACUGGGACUGAGACACGGCCCAGACUCCUACGGGAAGCAGCAGUGGGGAAUAUUGGACAAUGGGCGAGAGGCUGAUCCAGCAAGGCCGCGUGAGUGAUGAAGGCCUUAGAGUUGUAAAGCUCUUUUACCCGGGAUGAUAAUGACGGUACCGGGAGAAUAAGCACCGGCUAACUCCGUG
rnacentral:rRNA from 1 species